UACAGAGGGUGCAAGCGUUAAUCGGAAUUACUGGGCGUAAAGCGUGCGCAGACGGUUGCGUAAGUCAGAUGUGAAAGCCCCGGGCUCAACCUGGGAACUGCAUUUGUGACUGCAUAGCUAGAGUACGGUAGAGGGGGAUGGAAUUCCGCGUGUAGCAGUGAAAUGCGUAGAUAUGCGGAGGAACACCGAUGGCGAAGGCAAUCCCCUGGACCUGUACUGACGCUGAGACGCGAAAGCGUGGGGAGCGAACAGG
rnacentral:rRNA from 1 species